UUGUCAUCUCAUCUUUGUUUAAUGGAUUUCCUGAUCUUUGUGGUCCAGUUAUAUUUACGGCGUUGACUUGAAGACCAUCUUAGAUCAACUAGCUCAAUCAGGAGACGUAUAGUUAUCCAAGCGUGGCGAUCAUUUAUGACUGGUACCGUCUCUGCCAAUCAUGCCAUGCUACUGAGCUUCAGUAACACCCCUCCAACACCUAUGGCUCCCUUAUUGGAAAUGGAAACUUCACGUGGGUUGUUCUACAUGAUUUGUGAGGGAGAGUUUGAUCUGGGAUCAGCCUGCAUUCAGAGAACGCUCGUAGAUAUCUUCAACCUAUUACUGGUAUUUGUAUUCUUUCUUGUCUUGAUUGUCGGUCUCACAAGGAAGAACAAUAUCAGGCUGCGAAGGGGGGAUUGGAUCGCUACGGCAGUUUCAGUCUGCUGUGCUCUUAUAAGCAUUGCUUACCUCUCUACUUGUUUGUUACACUUGAGCGGAAACAAGGGUGGAUUUAAUCAUUUGAGCUGGUUAGCCUACUUAUUCAGAGGACUAAUUUGGAUUACCUUGUGCCUGUCCUUGCUUGUACAAGGAUCAAGAUGGAUCAAAAUUUUUAUUUCUACAUGGUGGGUGGUUUUCUUUCUGUUGAUAUCAGCUCUAAACACUGAGGUACUCGUGAAAACGCACAACGUUCAAAUCCUUGAAGUUGCAGCUUGGUUUGUAAGUCUCUUGCUGCUUUUUUGUGCCUUUAGGACCUUCCAUCAUACCAUUUCUCAUUCAAAUUUGGAAGAGGGUAACUUCUCGGAAACUCUUUUGGUGAAGGAAGUUCACGACGAGAAUUGUAUUAGUCUGGGCCAGGCUAGUUUCUUUAGUAAACUGUCAUUUUCUUGGAUCAACCCUUUAUUGCGCUUAGGAAAUUCCAAAACUUUAGCUCUUGAAGACAUUCCCUGUCUAGGACUUGAAGAUGAAGCAAAUUUGGCAUACGAGAAAUUUGCUCAGGCAUGGAGCUCGCUUCAAAAGGGGAAGGGCUCCAACAAUGCACAGAAUUUUGCUCUUUGGGCAAUAGCAAAAGUUCAUUGGAAAGAAAUGUUACUUACAGCAACUUAUGCAUUGCUUCGGGUGGUUUCAGUUGUACUUUCUCCAUUAUUGCUCUUUGCUUUUGUCGAAUAUUACAAACUUGAAACCAGAAAUAUCGAUGAAGGUCUUGCCUUAGUUGGGAUGUUAAUUCUUGUGAAAGUUGUGGAGUCCUUGUCCUAUCGGCAUUUCUUUUUCUAUGCAAGGAGGAUUGGUAUGAGGAUGAGGUCGGCUCUGAUGGUGGCAGCUUAUGAAAAGCAACUCAAGCUUUCUAGUUUGGGCAGGCGAAGGCACUCAACUGGAGAAGUUGUAAACUAUAUAGCAGUUGAUGCUUAUAGGAUGGGAGAAUUUCCAAUGUGGCUUCACAUAGGAUGGACUUCUGGGCUUCAACUCUUUUUGGCUAUCGCUGUCCUUUUCGCAGUUGUGGGUCUUGGUGUCCUUCCUGGUUUAGUCCCCCUGCUGAUCUGUGGCCUUCUUAAUGUACCCUUUGCAAAAAUACUUCAGAAAUGUCAAUCCGAAUUUAUGAAUGCUCAAGACAAGCGACUCAGGGCCAUGUCUGAGAUCCUAAAUAGUAUGAAGAUCAUUAAGUUACAGUCAUGGGAAGAGAAAUUCAAGAACUUAAUAGAGUCAUAUAGAGGGAUUGAAUUCAAAUGGCUGGCAGAAUCUCAAUACAAGAAGACAUAUAACACUGUUUUAUAUUGGAUGUGUCCAACAAUUGUUUCCUCGGUCAUUUUCUUUGGGUGUAUCCUGUUCAAAAGUGCCCCAUUAGAUGCAAGCACUAUUUUUACAGUUUUGGCUGCGCUAAGGAGCAUGUCAGAACCAGUUAGGUUCAUACCUGAGGCUCUUUCCGUUUUAAUACAGGUCAAAGUUUCAUUUGAUAGGAUCAAUACUUUUCUCCAGGAAGAUGAAAUCAAGCGUGAAGAUAACAUCAAAUAUCCCCCGGGUGAAUCAGAUCUUGUCAUUCUUAUUCAAGAUGGAAAUUUCAGUUGGGAUCCUGAUUCAACAGCUUUGACAAUUAAAGAUAUAAAUCUGAAAGUAAGAAGGGGGAACAAAGUUGCAAUUUGCGGACCUGUUGGAGCAGGGAAAUCAUCUGUUUUAUAUGCAAUACUUGGGGAAAUACCAAAGAUGUCAGGAAAUGUUAAUACAUAUGGAUCCAUUGCUUAUGUUUCUCAAGCUUCAUGGAUUCAGAGUGGAACAGUCCGAGAUAAUAUACUCUUUGGAAAGCCAAUGAACAAAAUAAAAUAUGACGAGGCUAUACGAGUUUCUGCUUUGGACAAAGACAUUGACAGUUUUGACUACGGUGAUCUUACAGAGAUUGGUCAGCGUGGUAUUAACAUGAGUGGUGGACAGAAGCAGAGAAUUCAACUUGCUCGAGCAGUCUACAAUGAUGCUGAGAUAUAUCUUCUUGAUGACCCUUUUAGUGCGGUAGAUGCACAUACAGCAGCAACUCUUUUUAAUGACUGCGUCAUGUCUGCAUUAGCAAAUAAGACUGUCAUUCUCGUGACUCACCAAAUUGAGUUCCUUUCAGAGGUUGAUCAUAUUCUGGUUAUGGAAGGAGGACAAGUAACUCAAUCAGGAAGUUAUGACGAAUUACUGACAGCAGGGACAGCGUUUGAGCAGCUUGUGGUUGCACAUAAAACAUCAUUGACAUUAUCUGAUCCUUUGACCGGUAAAAAUGAAGUCGAACAUCAAAGAGGAAAAGGGAACGCCCUGGAAGGGACAAAACAGCCUUACUUCGGCAAAGAAGCCAGCGAGGGAGAGAUUUCCAUGAUGCCUGGAGUACAGUUGACAGAAGAAGAAGAGAAGGAAAUCGGAGAUAUUGGAUUUAAACCAUUCUUGGAUUAUGUUUUGGUUUCAAAAGGAUUAUUUCAUGUGAUAAGCGGUCUAUUUUCGCAGACGGGCUUUGUUGUUCUUCAAGCAGCAGCGAGUUAUUGGCUAGCAUUUGCAAUUCAAUCUCCAAAAUUCAGCAGUGUCAUUAUAGUUUGUGUGUACACAAUAAUUUCAACAGUUAGUGCCUUAUUUGUCUACCUGAGAUCUCUGUUUGCAGCUCUUCUCGGAUUAAGAGCUUCUGAAGCCUUCUUCUCUGGUUUCACCAACUCAAUAUUCAGUGCUCCCAUGCUCUUUUUUGACUCUACUCCAGUUGGGAGGAUUUUGACACGAGCCUCCUCAGAUUUUAGUGUGCUAGAUUUUGACAUCCCUUUUGCCUAUGCAUUUGUAAUGGCUGCUGGAAUUGAACUAGUUGCAGCAAUUGGUAUUAUGGCCUCUGUGACAUGGCAGGUUCUUAUUGUCGGAAUCUUUGCAAUAGCAGCCUCCAAAUAUGUUCAGGGAUAUUAUCAAGCCUCCGCACGGGAACUCAUGAGAAUAAAUGGAACCACAAAGGCCCCCAUAAUGAACUAUGCUUCUGAGACGGCCCUUGGGGCUCCAAUAAUUAGAGCAUUUAACAUUACUGAAAGGUUUUUCCAGAACUAUCUCAAGCUUGUUGACACAGAUGCAAAAGUCUUUCUUUUCUCCAAUGCAGCAAUGGAGUGGUUGGUCUUAAGAACAGAAACACUUCAAAAUCUCACCCUAUUUGCUGCUGCUUUUCUCUUAGUGUUGCUUCCAAAGGGAUAUGUAGCUCCAGGGCUUGUGGGACUAUCUCUUUCUUAUGCUUUCGCACUUACUGGCACACAAGUGUUCUUAUCUCGAUGGUACGGUAGCUUAGCUAAUUAUAUCAUUUCAGUAGAGAGGAUCAAACAGUUCAUGCAUAUUCCACCAGAACCUCCGGCGGUCGUGGAAGACAAAAGGCCCCCACCUUCAUGGCCUUCCAAGGGUAGAAUAGAAUUGCUGGAUCUGAAGAUAAGAUACCGUCCAAAUGCUCCAAUUGUGCUCAAAGGGAUAACCUGCACUUUCAGAGAAGGGACCAGAGUAGGAGUUGUUGGAAGGACAGGAAGUGGAAAAACUACACUCAUUAGUGCUCUGUUUCGCCUUGUAGACCCAUACAGUGGGCAAAUUGUUGUAGAUGGGAUCAACAUUUGCUCUAUAGGUCUUAAGGACUUACGUUUGAAGCUCAGCAUAAUCCCUCAAGAACCAACUCUUUUUAGGGGCAGCAUUCGAACCAAUUUGGAUCCCUUAGGCAUCUAUUCUGAGGACGAGAUAUGGAAGGCUCUGGAGAAGUGCCAGUUGAAGGACACCGUCAGCAAACUUCCAAACUUGUUAGAUUCUUCUGUCAGUGAUGAAGGUGAAAAUUGGAGUAUGGGGCAACGGCAGCUCUUCUGUCUCGGGAGGGUUCUUCUAAGAAAGAAUAGAAUUCUAGUCCUCGAUGAAGCUACUGCCUCGAUCGACUCAGCUACUGAUUCAAUCCUGCAGAAAGUGAUCAGAGAAGAAUUCUCCAAUUGCACUGUGAUAACCGUGGCACACAGAGUUCCAACAGUCAUAGAUAGUGACAUGGUCAUGGUUCUUUCUUUUGGGAAGCUUGCGGAGUAUGAUGAGCCCUCAAAGCUGAUGGAAACGAAUUCAUCCUUCUCCAGGCUUGUAGCUGAAUAUUGGGCCAGCUGCAGAAAGAACUCUAGUCAGAAAUUGGAAAUUUGAGUUGGCAGGAUCCUCGCGGAACAGUUCAUCGGUGGUCGAACUUCUUGGAGAAGCUUAUUCAUUUUGACAUGCACGUUCGAAACCUCCUGAGAUUGCAGCCAAUAUGUGUUAUCAAUGCAUCUAGGCAUUCAUGCUCACAUAUAUUGUAGAGCUCUUUACUCUAGAAAAUGACAGUAUGCUCAAAAAAAAAAAAAAUUUUAUUUUCAUGCUCACACUUGGAGCAAUUAUGAUGUCUUAAAAGGUCAAAUUAUAUAUUUUAAAAUUUUAUAAAUCCUUGACAAGUAUUAAACCCAAAUAAAGCCAUGGAAGGAGGCGUGGAAGGAUUUCUUUUUCCUUUUUUCUUUUCUUUUCCAGCUCUAUUCUGUCUCAAAUUGUAUGCAAUUUUUUUUUUUCAAUAGAGGAAGGAUGGAAUUUAAGAAAUCAGAACGGGGAAGGGAGAUUUGAAUCUCGAAUGGCAGAAUCUCUACGUUUUAAGGUCUUAACUCUAAUCGCUAAAUCAAUGUCUCAAAUUAUAUAUAUAAAAAAAUUUGCCAACACAGUGAUUAUUUCAUUUGUGUAUAAGGAUUUAGAACAAUAAGGGUUACUUUGGAACUUUGGAUGUGAUGUUAUUUGUAAAAAAUUUUUUUGCUUGAAUCAUAAACACGUUUUUUAACUAUUUUUUUAUAUUUUAAUUAUCUUUUUAUGUAAUAUAUGUCACAUCGUAAAAAAGAGCCACAUGUUAUUUCAAAUAAUUUUUCUAAAUAAUCUCUUGCCCAACAGACUAUGAGUAAAAAAAAUUUAUAAGGCAUACUGCACAAGGAGUGCACUCAUUGACCACCUCAAAAAGUUUUUGGCAGAUUAUAAUUUAAAGAUUCGAGAUUUUAUAAGUUUUGACUCAUUUGAGUUUAUUGCAUUUGCUUUAAGCAGUACAUUUGCACUUUUGUGCCACAAUAAAUUGAUUUAACGAGGUAUAGCCUUAUUUUUGCAUCCUUAAUUCUCAAAGAAAUUUGAUAUUUAAUACAAAAAAAAAAAUGUUAUACUCCAUCUGACCCACUUUGAUAGUCUCGUUUUUCAUUUUCAUCCGUUCCAAAUUAUAACCUACUUUCCAACGGAAGAAUAUAGUUAAUUUUUAACUUCUCUAGGAUAUCCUUAUUUAAUGUACUUUCUUAUAGUAAAUAUAACCUACCUUAUUCAUUAAUUAUUUUGAUUCAUGCCUUGAAUGAUGCAAUUUUCUAUUAAUAUUGUUGUUGCAAUUAAUGUAAAGGUAUGAAUAUUAGUUAUACUACCAAUAUUAAUGCAAUGGUAUUUUAGAAAAAUAUUAGGUUAUAUUUACUUUUUCAUUAAAGUUAAUUAAUUUUUUUAAAAUAUUGUAAAUACAAAAUUCAAGAUUAUCAAAAUAAGAUGGAAGGAGUAUUUUUGAACAUUAAUUGCGAACUUAAAGUAACACAUUAAAAACAAUAUCUUGGUAGUGUGGGUGAUGGUCGAAGUUGUGUUUAACUUGAUCUGAUUUCAAGGGAACGAAAUUCAAUUUUGAUAGAAAGAAAUAGCGUAAAAGAAAAUUUUCAUAUCCAAUCGUCCGGUAGUGUAUCCCGGGAGAGCUAAUUUGAGAAGAUUCCAUACCCUCAUCCCACAGCUACUGGACAGUCCAUCGGAGAUAACCAGACGACCACUUUAUUAGACAAACAAAUGCCAGGACAAGACAACCAAUCCCCGCCUUCUCCGACCGCCGGCAACGUGGAAGAAAAUGAGGACGAACUCCUUGUCUGGGAGCAGAUAAAAUCCGAGGCGCGCCAAGACGCCGAGUCGGAGCCAGCCUUGGCUAGCUACUUGUACUCUACCGUGCUUUCUCACUCCUCAUUGGCUCGCUCGCUUUCAUUCCAUCUGGGAAACAAGCUUUGCUCCUCCACACUCCUCUCCACUCUCCUCUACGACCUCUUCCUCAAUACCUUCUCCUCCGACCCCUCCAUUCUUUCUGCCGCCGUCGCAGACCUUCGAGCCGCGCGUUACCGGGACCCGGCUUGUAUUUCUUUCUCUCACUGUUUGUUGAAUUACAAGGGAUUUCUUGCUAUCCAGACACAUAGGUUGGCACAUAAACUAUGGCUUGAAGACGGAAAGCCGCUCGCACUAUCAUUGCAAUCUAGGAUAUCUGACGUCUUUGCAGUGGAUAUACACCCUGGGGCUAGAAUUGGGAAGGGGGUGUUGCUGGAUCAUGCAACAGGGGUCGUGAUUGGAGAAACAGCAGUUGUUGGGAAUAAUGUGUCGAUACUGCACCAUGUAACCUUGGGUGGGACCGGCAAAGUCUCUGGUGAUCGCCAUCCAAGGCUUGGUGAUGGUGUCCUGAUUGGUGCUGGAGCUACUAUAUUGGGGAAUGUGAAGAUUGGUGAGGGAGCAAAAAUUGGAGCUGGAUCAGUUGUGCUAAUUGAUGUGCCCCCUUGGACAACAGCAGUUGGAAAUCCAGCAACGUUGGUCGGUGGAAAGGAGAAACCUAAAGUGCAUGAAGAUGUGCCUGGAGAGUCCAUGGAUCAUACUUCAUUCAUUUCUCAGUGGUCUGACUAUAUGAUAUGAAUUUGAGCCAAUGGUCACAAGGUUUGAUAUUGGAUGUUAGUAGAAUUUAAUUGAACUACAUUGGUUGAGUCACAUUGGACUGGGGGAUUUAGAAACUCCAAGACAGUGGCUUAAGGAGGCCCUCUUUCAGGCGUAGUUAGACAGGGUAAAGGGGAGCCUCUUUCAGAUGUAGUUAGACAGUAAGGGGGAGGACUAUUGUUUUGUACAUUUAUAAUGGUGGAAUGAAAGGGUGCUUCUGAGGCUUUUCAGACCUCUUCUUUGAA